UUUCCCGAAUGUGUCCUACUGAAUUAUACUUAUUACCGGGUUUGUAAUAAUAUGAGCAACUAGAUGGGUGCCACAUGUGUAGUAGGAUCUGGUUACCCUUCCGAAGAACCUGAGAUCAUCCCAAUUUUUUUGGUGAGGUUCGUGUUGCUCACUUUUUAGUUUUCUAUGUUGUGUUUUGUGUACUUUGGUUUGGUUUUUUUUUUUUGGUCUUUUUUUUUUUACUUUUUCUGUUUAUUUCGACAUUUGAAUGUCCCUCAAGUAUCUUUCGUUCCUAUUUAUGGAUGUCAAGUUGAUUUACAAUAGAUAAGAUAUAUAAUAUACAUUUUAUUUAAAGCAGGUUUUGUACAAAAUUAUAAACAAAACACAAGCUAUCCACUGUUUUUUACCCAACAAUUAAAGCAUAUCUAGAAACAAUUUAAGCUGUAUCAUAAAUAUAUAUAUGCAUUUACUAUUUGCUGAACUUGUUUUUGAAAAAAAAAUCCAAAAUAUUAACCACCAAAAAAAAACAGGCACAUUUGCAGACAUUUCUAAAUUGAUUAAAAUGUGUUUCUUUUUUACAUUCUCAGACAGUGAUUUCAAUAUUUGGUUUAAAUUGACAGAAUUUGCAGUUAAUAGACAUAUCUACAUUAUACUAUGUAUUUCAUUUUAAAGUGUCAAAUCAGUUACACUUUGGUGCCCUCAAACAUGGUUAACCCUUGCAUAUUCUGAUUUGCCUGUCUCUGUCAGGACCAGUAUUUCACUGGUCGUUAUUUGUUCGACAUAGGAGUGUGAAUGCUCCUCUAGUAUCGUUUGAUCAUAUUGACGGAUGACAAGUUAAUUCAAGAUGGAUUAGAUUUAUAAGGUACUUUUUAUUUAAAAAGGUUUUGUUCACAGAACAAAAACACAUUCUCUCCAUUGUUUUUUACCCGACAAUUAAAGCAUAUCUAGAAACAAUAUAAGCUGCAUCAUAAUAAAUCUAUAUA
rnacentral:lncRNA from 1 species